ACGAGGUAGGGCCUCCUUCGGGAGCCCGAACUCCCCACCCUUUGCUGUUGCGAACAAGUUGCUUCGGCGGGACCCCCCCCGUGGGGGGACCGGGCGUCAGCCCGGGCAGCGCCCGCCGGGGGACCAAACCAACUCUUUUGUCGAACAAUGUAGUCGGAGUACAAUCGUACAAUCAAAAACA
rnacentral:misc_RNA from 1 species